rnacentral:rRNA from 1 species
GAUGAACGCUGGCGGCGUGCCUAAUACAUGCAAGUCGAGCGAACAGACGAGGAGCUUGCUCCUCUGACGUUAGCGGCGGACGGGUGAGUAACACGUGGAUAACCUACCUAUAAGACUGGGAUAACUUCGGGAAACCGGAGCUAAUACCGGAAAAUAUAUUGAACCGCAUGGUUCAAUAGUGAAAGACGGUUUUGCUGUCACUUAUAGAUGGAUCCGCGCCGCAUUAGCUAGUUGGUAAGGUAACGGCUUACCAAGGCAACGAUGGGUAGCCGACCUGAGAGGGUGAUCGGCCACACUGGAACGGAGACACGGUCCAGACUCCUACGGGAGGCAGCAGUAUGGAAUCUUCCGCAAUGGGCGAAAGCCUGGCGGAGCAACGCCGCGUGAGUGAUGAAGGUCUUCGGAUCGUAAAACUCUGUUAUUAGGGAAGAACAAAUGUGUAAGUAACUAUGCACGUCUUGACGGUACCUAAUCAGAAAGCCACGGCUAACUACGUG